UAUUGUGACUAUACGAAGGUAUUGAAAUAAGACUUUAAUUGAGUGCUAAGAGAAUGGUUUAACAAAAAUAGACUUUUUUUUUAUUUAAAAUUGAAGUUAAUUUAAAAACGAAAAAGUUUUUAUGAAAUUUUAGGACAAGAAGACCCUAUGAAUUUUUUUAAAAAGCUUUUUUUUAGGUUUUUUUAAAAAAAUUUUAGAAAAGUUUUUAAUUAAUUGGGGUGAUUUUUAAAUUUUUAGAAACUUUAAAGAUGUGAUAUUGGACCCAAUAUUAUUGAUACAUUAAUCAAAAUACUCUAGGGAUAACAGCGUUAUUACUUUGGAUAGUUCAUAUAGAUAAAGUAGAUUGCGACCUCGAUGUUGGAUUAGGAUACCUUUAUUAGUGAAGAAGUUAUAAAAGGAGGUUUGCUCAACCUUUAAAUUCC
rnacentral:rRNA from 1 species